rnacentral:rRNA from 1 species
GAUGAACGCUGGCGGCGUGCUUAACACAUGCAAGUCGAACGGACAGGCUCCUGCUUGCAGGGGUACUCGAGUGGCGAACGGGGGAGUAACACGCGUGGGAUCUGCCCUUCACUUCGGGAUAAGCCUUGGAAACUGGGUCUAAUACCGGAUAGGACGAUGGGUUGCAUGCGAUUGUGUAGAGAUUGUCGGUGUGGGAUGAGCUCGAGGCCUAUCAGCUUGUUGGUGGGGUAAUGGCAUACCAAGGCGUCGACGGGUAGCCGGCCUGGGAGGGUGUACGGCCACAUUGGGACUGAGAUACGGCCCAGACGCCAACGGGCGGCAGCAGUGGGGAAUAUUGCACAAUGGGGGCAAGCCUGAGGCAGCGGCGCCGCGUGGGGGAUGACGGCCUUCGGGUUGUAAACAACUUUCGCUAGGAACGAAGCGCAAGUGACGGUACCUGGAGAGGAAGCAACGGCUAACUACGUG